rnacentral:rRNA from 1 species
GGUCGUAAAGCUCAAUAGUAUGGGAAGAUAAUGACGGUACCAUACGAAAGCCCCGGCUAACUACGUGCCAGCAGCCGCGGUUAUACGUAGGGAACGAGCGUUGUCCGGAAUUACUGGGCGUAAAGAGCGCGUAGGCGGCUAUAAAAGUCAGAUGUGAAAAACCUGGGCUCAACCGAGGGUAGGCAUCUGAAACUGGAUAGCAUGAGUCAAGGAGAGGAGAGCGGAAUUCCUGGUGUAGCGGUGAAAUGCGUAGAGAUCAGGAAGAAUACCAGUGGCGAAAGCGGCUCUCUGGACUUGAACUGACGCUGAG